GGCUGAGAAGCGAACUAUCGCAUUUAGUUUCGACCUAAACUUUGGUAACAUCCUACCCUCAGCUU
rnacentral:tRNA from 1 species